rnacentral:rRNA from 1 species
GAUGAACGCUGGCGGCGUGCCUAAUACAUGCAAGUCGAGCGAAUGGAUUAAGAGCUUGCUCUUAUGAAGUUAGCGGCGGACGGGUGAGUAACACGUGGGUAACCUGCCCAUAAGACUGGGAUAACUCCGGGAAACCGGGGCUAAUACCGGAUAACAUUUUGAACCGCAUGGUUCGAAAUUGAAAGGCGGCUUCGGCUGUCACUUAUGGAUGGACCCGCGUCGCAUUAGCUAGUUGGUGAGGUAACGGCUCACCAAGGCAACGAUGCGUAGCCUGCCUGAAAGGGUGAUCGGCCACCCUGGGACUGAGACACGGCCCAGACUCCUACGGGAGGCAGCAGUAGGGAAUCUUCCGCAGUGGACGAAAGUCUGACGGAGCAACGCCGCGUGAGUGAUGAAGGCUUUCGGGUCGUAAAACUCUGUUGUUAGGGAAGAACAAGUGCUAGUUGAAUAAGCUGACACCUUGACGGUACCUAACCAGAAAGCCACGGCUAACUACGUGCCAGCAGCCGCGGUAA